rnacentral:rRNA from 1 species
UACGUAGGGUGCGAGCGUUAAUCGGAAUUACUGGGCGUAAAGCGUGCGCAGGCGGUUUUGUAAGCCAGAUGUGAAAUCCCCCGGGCUCAACCUGGGAAUGGCAUUUGGGACUGCAAGGCUGGAGUACGGCAGAGGAGACUGGAAUUCCUGGUGUAGCAGUGAAAUGCGUAGAUAUCAGGAGGAAUACCGAUGGCGAAGGCAGGUCUCUGGGCUGAUACUGACGCUCAUGCACGAAAGCGUGGGGAGCAAACAGG